GAUCCUGGCUCAGGAUGAACGCUGGCGGCGCGCCUAACACAUGCAAGUCGAACGGCACCCCUCUCCGGAGGGAAGCGAGUGGCGAACGGCUGAGUAACACGUGGAGAACCUGCCCCCUCCCCCGGGAUAGCCGCCCGAAAGGACGGGUAAUACCGGAUACCCCCGGGCGCCGCAUGGCGCCCGGGCUAAAGCCCCGACGGGAGGGGAUGGCUCCGCGGCCCAUCAGGUAGACGGCGGGGUGACGGCCCACCGUGCCGACAACGGGUAGCCGGGUUGAGACG
rnacentral:rRNA from 1 species